AGGACGAACGCUGGCGGUGUGCUUAACACAUGCAAGUCGAGCGGGAAGCAAGGGGCUUGCCCCUUGUGGAGAGCGGCGAACGGGUGAGGAACACGUGAGGAACCUGCCCCAGACACUGGGAUAACUCCGGGAAACCGGAGCUAAUACCGGAUACUCUCGCGGAACCACAUGGUUCUGCGAGGAAAGCUCCGGCGGUCUGGGAUGGCCUCGCGGCCUAUCAGCUUGUGGUGGGUAACGGCCUACAAGGCUACGACGGGUAGCUGGUCUGAGAGGACGAUCAGCCACACUGGGACUGAGACACGGCGCAGACUCCUACGGGAGGCAGCAGUGGGAAUAUGCGCAAUGGGACGAAAGCCUGACGCAGCGACACCGCGUGCGGGAUGAAGGCCUCGGUUGUAACCGCUUUCGGCGAGGAAGAAGACGAAAGUGACGGUACCUGACACGAAGAAGCUACCGGCUAACCGUACGUACGCCAGCACGCCGACGGUAA
rnacentral:rRNA from 1 species